rnacentral:rRNA from 1 species
GAAGAAGUAUUUCGGUAUGUAAAGCUCUAUCAGCAGGGAAGAUAAUGACGGUACCUGAUUAAGAAGCCCCGGCUAACUACGUGCCAGCAGCCGCGGUAAUACGUAGGGGGCAAGCGUUAUCCGGAUUUACUGGGUGUAAAGGGAGCGUAGGUGGCAGGGCAAGUCAGAUGUGAAAACCCGGGGCUCAACUCCGGGAGUGCAUUUGAAACUGUCCAGCUAGAGUGCAGGAGAGGUAAGCGGAAUUCUUGGUGUAGCGGUGAAAUGCAUAGAUAUUAGGAGGACCACCAGUGCCGAAGGCGGCUUACUGGACUGUAACUGACACUGAGGCUCGAAAGCGUGGGGAGCAAACAGGAUUA